rnacentral:rRNA from 1 species
CCUACGGGAGGCAGCAGUGGGGGAUAUUGCACAAUGGGGGAAACCCUGAUGCAGCGACGCCGCGUGUAGGAAGACGGUCCUCUGGAUUGUAAACUACUGUCCCCAGGGACGAAGAUGACGGUACCUGGAGAGGAAGCUCCGGCUAACUACGUCCAAGCAGCCGCGGUAAUACGUAGGGCGCGGGGGUUGUCCGGAAUUACUGGGUGAAACGGGCGCGUAGGAGGGGAUGCAAGUUGGCGGUUAAAUCUACCGGCUCAACUGGUAGUCGCACUCAAAACUGCAGCUCUUGAGUGAAGGAGAGGCAGGCGGAAUUCCUAGUGUAGCGGUGAAAUGCGUAGAUAUUAGGAGGAACACCAGUGGCGAAGGCGGCCUGCUGGGCUUUUACUGACGCUGAGGCUCGAAAGUGUGGGGAGCAAACAGGAUUAGAUACCCCGGUAGUC